rnacentral:rRNA from 1 species
GAUGAACGCUGACAGAAUGCUUAACACAUGCAAGUCGAUGGGGAAGUGGUGCUUGCACCAUGGUAACCAUGGCGGACGGGUGAGUAACGCGUAAGGAACUUGCCUGCGGGACUGGGAUAACAGCAGGAAUCUGCUGAUAAUACCGGAUAAGGUCAUUAAGCUGCAUAGCUUAGUGAUGAAAGGAGACGCCUGCGGAGAGCCUUGCGUCCUAUUAGCUAGUUGGAGGGGUAACGGCCCACCAAGGCGAAGAUAGGUAGCCGGCCUGAGAGGGUGGACGGCCACAAGGGGACUGAGAUACGGCCCUUACUCCUACGGGAGGCAGCAGUGGGGAAUAUUGGACAAUGGGGGCAACCCUGAUCCAGCAAUUCUGUGUGCACGAAGACGGUUUUCGGAUUGUAAAGUGCUUUCAGCAGGGAAGAAGGAAGUGACGGUACCUGCAGAAGAAGCGACGGCUAAAUACGUG